GACGAACGCUGGCGGCGUGCUUAACACAUGCAAGUCGAGCGGAGCGGCGAACGGGUGAGUAACGCGUGAGUAACUGCCCCCCUCUCUGGGAUAACAGUUGGGAACGGCUGCUAAUACCGGAUAGUUGGGGAUGACUCGGGUCCUAUCAGCUUGUUGGUGGGGUAGUGGCCUACCAAGGCGACGACGGGUAGCCGGCCUGAGAGUGCGACCGGCCACAUAGGGCUGAGAUAGCGGCAAAAGGCCUACGGGAGGCAGCAGUGGGGAAUAUUGCGCAAUGGGGGAAGCGCGUAAGGAGCAACGCCGCAUGCGGGAUGUCGGCCGUCGGGUUGGAAACCGCUUUCAGCUAUGAAGCGGUAGUGGCAGAAGAAGCACCGGCUAACUACGUGCCAGCAGCCGCGGUAAUAC
rnacentral:rRNA from 1 species